rnacentral:rRNA from 1 species
GGGUGAGUAACGCGUAAGUAAUCUACCUUCGAGUUUGGAAUAACACCACGAAAGAGGUGCUAAUACCGAAUAAGACCACGAUGGGGUAAUCCAUUGAGGGAAAAGAUAGCCUCUUCACGAAAGCUUUCGCUUGGAGAUGAGCUUGCGUACCAUUAGCUUGUUGGCGGGGUAAAGGCCCACCAAGGCAGAGAUGGUUAGCUGGUCUGAGAGGACGAUCAGCCACACUGGAACUGAGACACGGUCCAGACUCC